rnacentral:rRNA from 1 species
UACGUAGGGUGCGAGCGUUAAUCGGAAUACUGGGCGUAAAGCGUGCGCAGGCGGUUCGCUAAGACCGAUGUGAAAUCCCCGGGCUUAACCUGGGAACUGCAUUGGUGACUGGCGGGCUAGAGUAUGGCAGGAGGGGGGUAGAAUUCCACGUGUAGCAGUGAAAUGCGUAGAGAUGUGGAGGAAUACCGAUGGCGAAGGCAGCCCCCAUGGGCCAAUACGUGACGCUCAUGCACGAAAGCGUGGGGAGCAAACAGG